rnacentral:rRNA from 1 species
UGGGGAAUAUUGGACAAUGGGGGAAACCCUGAUCCAGCAAUGCCGCGUGGGUGAUGAAGGCCUUAGGGUUGUAAAGCUCUUUCGACGGGGACGAUGAUGACGGUACCCGUAGAAGAAGCCCCGGCUAACUUCGUGCCAGCAGCCGCGGUAAGACGAAGGGGGCUAGCGUUGUUCGGAAUUACUGGGCGUAAAGCGCGCGUAGGCGGUCUUUCAAGUCAGGAGUGAAAGCCCCGGGCUCAACCCGGGAAUAGCUCUUGAUACUGUUGGACUUGAGUCCGGGAGAGGAUAGUGGAAUUCCCAGUGUAGAGGUGAAAUUCGUAGAUAUUGGGAAGAACACCAGUGGCGAAGGCGGCUAUCUGGACCGGUACUGACGCUGAGGCGCGAAAGCGUGGGGAGCAAACAGG